rnacentral:rRNA from 1 species
GUACGGGGGGGGUAAGCGUUGUUCGGAAUUACUGGGCGUAAAGGGCGCGUAGGCGGUCAGCACAAGUCAGUUGUGAAAUCUCCGGGCUUAACUCGGAAAGGUCAACUGAUACUGUGCGACUAGAGUGCAGAAGGGGCAACUGGAAUUCUCGGUGUAGCGGUGAAAUGCGUAGAUAUCGAGAGGAACACCUGCGGCGAAGGCGGGUUGCUGGGCUGACACUGACGCUGAUGCGCGAAAGCCAGGGGAGCGAACGGG